rnacentral:rRNA from 1 species
CAGUAGGGAGGAAGGUAGUGUAGUUAACACCUGCAUUAUUUGACGUUACCUACAGAAGAAGCACCGGCUAACUCCGUGCCAGCAGCCGCGGUAAUACGGAGGGUGCGAGCGUUAAUCGGAAUUACUGGGCGUAAAGCGCAUGCAGGCGGCCUGUUAAGUCAGAUGUGAAAGACCCGGGGCGUUAACCUCGGAAUUGCAUUUGAAACUGGCAGGCUAGAGUCUUGUAGAGGGGGGUAGGAAUUUCAGGUGUAGCGGUGAAAUGCGUAGAGAUCUGAAGGAAUACCAGUGGCGAAGGCGGCCCCCUGGACAAAGACUGACGCUCAGAUGCGAAAGCGUGGGGAGCAAACAGGAUUAGAUACCCCUGGUAG